rnacentral:rRNA from 1 species
UACGUAGGGCGCGAGCGUUAUCCGGAAUUAUUGGGCGUAAAGAGCUCGUAGGCGGUUUGUCGCGUCUGCUGUGAAAACUGGAGGCUCAACCUCCAGCCUGCAGUGGGUACGGGCAGACUCGAGUGCGGUAGGGGAGAUUGGAACUCCUGGUGUAGCGGUGGAAUGCGCAGAUAUCAGGAAGAACACCGAUGGCGAAGGCAGAUCUCUGGGCCGUAACUGACGCUGAGGAGCGAAAGCAUGGGGAGCGAACAGG